AUUGAACGCUGGCGGAAUGCUUUACACAUGCAAGUCGAACGGUAGAGGGGGCAACCCCUUGAGAGUGGCGAACGGGUGAGUAAUAUAUCGGAACGUGCCCAGUCGUGGGGAUAACGUAGCGAAAGUUACGCUAAUACCGCAUACGAUCUAAGGAUGAAAGCGGGGGACUCGCAAGAGCCUCGCGCGAUUGGAGCGGCCGAUAUCAGAUUAGGUAGUUGGUGGGGUAAAGGCUCACCAAGCCAACGAUCUGUAGCUGGUCUGAGAGGACGACCAGCCACACUGGAACUGAGACACGGUCCAGACUCCUACGGGAGGCAGCAGUGGGGAAUUUUGGACAAUGGACGCAAGUCUGAUCCAGCCAUUCCGCGUGCAGGAUGAAGGCCCUCGGGUUGUAAACUGCUUUUGUAC
rnacentral:rRNA from 1 species